rnacentral:lncRNA from 1 species
AAAACAUUGUUUGGCUCAAGGUUCUGGAGACAUGAGAAUGUGGUUCCAGCAACAGCUCUGCUCUGGGGAGGCUGUCAUGAUGGAUGGCACCAGGAGGGCAUGAAUUGGCUCCGUCUCCUGAGCCCGCAUCAGUCCCUUCUGAGAGUGGGGCCUCAGUGAUGUGAUAUAAUGACCCUCAGUGGUGUCACCUCUGACGGGUUCCAAGACCAAGGCCACAGCACAGCAAAUACAGUAACAAGUGUCAAUGCAAAGUGCCUCUUCCUCCGCUCGCAUUAGACUGUCUACUCCGCAAGGUAGAGGACACGUCACCUUGGCCCCCAUCUACGGUGGACCAACCCAGCAGUGGACACAGCUGCUGAAGAUACCGUGAGAGCUUCUGGGAAAGUCACCAGCAGACAGCAAUUGGAUUACUCCAAAACAGAGCCGUGGAACCACACCGAGCCUGCUGUGCUUGUGUGCUGGGGGUCUGCUUAGCAAGUCAGCCAGAGCUAAGAAGCUAUGCGGAAACAAAUUCCCAAAAAACACAGACUCCCAUGGAAAAGAAUGGAAAAAGGUCAGGGGAUCUGAGUUCACUUGGCUGUUGUUUGGUCCCUGGGCUGUGCCCGCUGUGGUUUUCCUGCACAAUGACUUCUUUUGACCUGGUUCUGAGACCUUGGCAACCUGCUUUGUUGUGCUUAAAUUUGACCUUGCCUGACCCCUGUGUCAUUUGGGAUGUCACCAUGGAAACUUCUAGACCUCCCUGGAGCUGGCUUCUGGCCAUGAGCGCCUACCCCAGAUGGGUGCUCUCUUUCAGAUCUCUGGGACCCAUCUCCCAGGCUCAUGCACAGCAGGGGCUGAAAGUGUCCCUGCAGGCUAUGUGUUGGAGGCUUCGUUUCCAUUUUGUGACACUGCCGGGAAGAGGAGCCUGAUGGGCGGAAGUGAGGUCACUGGGAGUGUGGCUGGGAAGGCCUCUGAGGCCCCUUUCUGCUUUCCCUCCUUCCCAGCUGCCACUUCCUCCUCCAUGCACUCCCACCUCAUGGGUGGGCUCACCACAGAGGCCAGGUGACCGAAGCACAGGGCCAAGUGACCAUGGCCUGAAGCCCCUGAAAUCAUGAGCCAAAAUAAAUCUUUC